rnacentral:tRNA from 4 species
UCGGGGAUCGUCUAAUGGUAGGACAACAGAUUCUGGAUCUGUUUAUCUUGGUUCAAAUCCAAGUCCCCGAGCAA